ACCGAAGAAUUGGCGACAACUCGAUGAAUUUUAUAAAUGGAUCAAUUCGACUUUUAAAUUCGGAUUUCUGUACCAGGAGCGAACAGCCCCUCGGGUAUUCCGGAUGUGGAUCGCGCUCAAUUCUUAUAUGGGUGUAUACAAUUAACCGCCAGCAUCCGAAACAUUUUCAAAGCAAACCAAACGAGCGUAGACCAUAUAUAUAUAUACCUAUAUAUAACACGAGAUUUCUCUACAACGGAAUGAAAUCUGAUGGAAUAAAUGCUUCGGAACGUGUACGGUGCGGCAAUUAAAAAAUAAUUAGAGACAAUUAUACAUACUCGGUGUAAUAAAUCUAGGGAGAUUCGAUCGAAAUUUUUCUACCGAAUUAAUCAAACCCACACUCUCUCUCUCUCUCGACGGAGAGGAACAAGUCGAAGGACUCGUUCGAAACAAAAAAAAAUUCAAGGAAUUUCCUCCUCGGAUCCUAUCUAGUCGUAUUGGCACGAGUGGGGUAAACAUAUAUAUAUAUAUUGAAAAUAGGAAAAAAAAAAUCGAGCUCAGUUUUUUUUUCUUCUUCUUUAACGGAGGACCUUCGUAAUGCACUUACAAUCAGUCUCUCUGUAUUACAUACUUUAGUCGCGUAACUUAUACGCGGUGUUCGUCGCGUCGAGUUGGUGCAGCGGCAGCAGCGGCGGUAAGAGAGGAAGGAGAAAUAAUUUAUCUUCGCGCAUUAGACCUACUCGCGUGUGGUCCGUGAUAGCGCCGAGCGAAGAAGUAUUCCACGGAGUUAUUGAUAAGCGUAUUUCCGAGAUACAUACAGAAUGCGAGUAGAGACGACGACGACGACGACGAGACGCGCGCACGUCAUCUCUCUCAUCUCAUCUUCUAGCGUUAUACCUACGCGUGGACCCCACAUUUCUACCUACGGUUACGCACCGCAAGCGAUAAGAACGAAACUGUACGGUAUGCGCGCGAGACGAAACACAAUCACAAUCGGUUUCGCCGUCUCGAUUUUUUUCCCUCCUUCUUUUUCUUCUUAUUUUCUCCAAUUUUCCAAUCGUUUCUAGAAAUAUUCCGUUUAUACCCCAGGGCUCGAUCGCUUAUCCAUCUCGAAAUUCGAUUCUUGCCAUCGGACCACACAGGGCGCGCGAGUCCCACCCCCCCCCUGUAAAACACAUACGCGCUGACGGGAAUUUAGGGUCACUCCGAUUCCGUGUAAUUUACCGCACCGAUCACCUUUCGGUGCCAGGUCAUUCCGUCUCGGUUUUUAUAGGUGUGUUGGAUUCUCGGUUUGAUCCGAUGAGGACAUAGGGGGGGGGGGGGGGCUAAAUUGUUAGCGACUCUCGUUACUUUCCCGACAAUUUAAUUUUAUCGUCGUAUCGUCCGAUCGAUCAGCUGACGCCACUGCGGGGAUAAGGUUGUAAUUUUCCACGUCAUUUGUCGAGGUGUAAAAACGCAACGACUACCAUACGUGCGUCGCAGCGACGAUCGACUCGACGCAGGAAUUACAGGGUGUCCCGAGGAGAUCAGAGAAAAUGGAGAGCGUCUAUAUCACCCGGAUUAACGUAUCUCUAAAUCUACGUCUCUCGGGCGCGUCGAGUCGUUUGAAUAGAGUCGGUGGUUUAUUAAUUUCGGAUAGAAGGUGAUUAACGUCUUCCUCUCUCCCCCAUUGGUAAGUUUCAAUUCUCCCUGAAAAUGAGUUGGAACCUGUCGCGAUAAAAAAGGGAAGACAGACAAAACAUCGGGGCGUUUAAAGUAUAGAGGACUCGGUGGUUUACGCCGGGAUUCCGAAACGGCACACCCGACGUCUGUUUAACGUAACCCCCUCCCCCCUCCCCCUCCCCCCCCCCCAUGACUUUGUUUACGUUACAUCCACGCAUGGGUCGACACACAUUUCUCAAGUUAACCGUGAAGGGGAACCGAGAGUAAUCCACAUAUCUGUUUAGAUCGCAGAAGCUCAGCAGCGACUGCGUAAAACGCUCUCGUCCCCCAUCCAACUCCCGUGAAAUGAAGCGUCGAGUCGAGUCGCGAGAUGCGGAGCGACCGGAGAGGGUCGAGAUUCGGAGAGCAGCGGAGAUCCAAGAAGGGGGCGAAUAAUAUUUUUACUACGAAUAGCGGUUUUGGGAAAAUGUGGAAAAUAAGGAGAACCGUCGGGAACAACGACACGAAAUGCACGUUACUCCCCGCGGAAGUCGAAGCGCGGGGGGUUCCAUUACCUUCUGUAAAAUCACGGAGGCGAGAUAGAUCGUUACGCAACCGGUGCGACGUCCCAGUGGUGCAACGAUGCUGAGAUGUAUCAAAAAUCGACGAAUUGAAAUGUCAAAUUUCCGAAGGACCUUCGACCGAUAUCGAUUCGAUCGUCACUUUCGUCCUCUGGGGACAAGAUGCGGCGGAUAUUCCACCGUAUAUAUCGAGUCCGUUGAGAGCGAACAGAAAAUUCUAAGCGAAACGUUCGAUGUUCGAAAUGAAGAAUUUCCACAAUAAAUAUACAGAGAAAAGGAAUGUAGCAGGUGACUGUUUAUUAUCCUCGUCAUUUACAAUCCUCUUUCUUCGGCUCCGUGAGGAUUCGGUAAGAAAAAUACACACGUGCGAUCAAGAUCGUCCGUUACACGCCGAUGACCUUUUUUUUUUUCUUUUCUUUCUAAUCCGUUGUCGAAAGAAGAUAAAUCCGUUGAAGAUAAGAACAAUUCAUCGUUGAGAUUUGAAUUUUACAGCCACAGAUAAGAUCAUUGUUUCUCUCUCUCUGGAUAGAUAAUGACAUUUUUUUUUUUUUUCUGUUAAAUCUACUUUUUGAUGUAGUUGGCGAGAGUUUAUUUGUACAUUUCGGUCGAGAUCUACGCUUAUCCUCCGUGUAAGAUUUUUAUUGCUUCUCGAGUGUGCGAGCUCUGGUUGAGUUGAACAACACGAUAACGCGUAAAGCCCUAAUCGAACCUACUACGUAACCUGUACCGCGUAAAUUAUACGCUGCACUACACACACACGUUGUACUGCCCGACAUUAUUCUCUGGAAUAUGUUUUUUUUUCCCCAAAUCCUUUUUUCUAAUCUAUUUAAUUGCGAUGCCUCUUUUCAAAGGGGUUUGCUGUCCGCUCGACGUAACGCAACGGUACGGGGUGUACAAAAAGUCCAUAUAGCAUACGGGGGAUCAAAGGUACCGAAUUCUGAUAUAAUAUAUCCGAAUAUACAGCUCAUGUAUGUAUAUACGAUACGGUACGGUUGAAUAAAAAAAAAAAAAAAAAAAAAAA